rnacentral:rRNA from 1 species
AGUCGGAGGGGGCAAGCGUUGUUCGGAAUUACUGGGCGUAAAGGGCGUGUAGGCGGCCAUAUAAGUUAGGUGUAAAAGCAUCUGGCUCAACCAGGUAACUGCAUCUAAAACUGUAUGGCUUGAGUGCAGGAGAGGAAAGUGGAAUUGCCGGUGUAACGGUGAAAUGUGUAGAUAUCGGCAAGAACACCAGUGGUGAAGACGGCUUUCUAGACUGUCACUGACGCUGAGGCGCGAAAGCUAGGGGAGCGAACGGGAUUAGAAACCCCAGUAGUCC